rnacentral:rRNA from 1 species
UACGUAGGUGGCGAGCGUUGUCCGGAAUUACUGGGCGUAAAGGGUGCGUAGGCGGCUCCUUAAGUGAGGUGUGAAAUCCCUGGGCUCAACCCAGGAACUGCACUUCAAACUGGGGAGCUAGAGUGCAGGAGAGGAAAGCGGAAUUCCCGGUGUAGCGGUGAAAUGCGUAGAGAUCGGGAGGAACACCAGUGGCGAAGGCGGCUUUUUGGACUGUAACUGACGCUGAGGCACGAAAGCGUGGGGAGCAAACAGG